rnacentral:tRNA from 1 species
GGUCGCUUAGCUCAGCUGGGAGAGCACCUCCCUUACAAGGAGGGGGUCAGUGAUUCGAUCCCAGUAGCGACCACCA